CACUCAAAUCCCUAAUUCUGAGUACUCGUAAAUUUUGCAGAAUUCGCCGACCGGUGUCAACUGAAAGCUCCCCCGAUUCCGUUUUCCAAUUUGAAAUUCCUCGUGUUUCAGAGAUUCCAAGGAGAGAAGACAAAGGUUACGCGUCCGAAAUGCUCGGUGGAUUGUAUGGAGACCUCCCUCCACCCUCUUCGGCCGAGGAAGACAAGCCCAGCAAUUCCACCGUCUGGUCGAGCAGCACAAAAAUGGCGCCGCCGACCCUACGUAAGCCGUCGUCCGUCUUCGCGCCACAGACCGUUCUCAGAUCUCAAAGCAAAGUAAAAGCAGCCACCUCGACGCACCCGAAGGCUUCCGCGUCAGCGUCAGUGGAGCAGUCUCAGCCGAUUCUGGCCGAGGCCAUAACGCAACCGGCAUUGGUCGCCGUGACGUCGACGGUUGUAGAAGAGUAUGAUCCAGCGAGGCCGAAUGACUACGAGGAGUAUAGGAUGGAAAAGAAGAGGAAGGCCAUGGAGGCUGAGAUGAGGAAGGAGCUUGAGAGGCGCAGACAAGAGGAGGAAGAGAGGGAGAAGAAGGAGCGUGAGGAGCGAGAAAGAGAUUAUUCCGAUUCUAGGUUAAAUAUUUCAGGCGAGGAAGCUUGGAGAAGGCGCGCGGCGAAGAGUGGGGCAAUACCAAGAUCGCCAUCACCGCCAAGUGCCGCAGACGGCUUCACCAUUGGGAAGUCGGAGACUGGCGGGUUGGGAGUUGGUGCCGGUGGGCAGAUGACGGCAGCACAAAGAAUGAUGGCUAAGAUGGGGUGGAAAGAGGGGCAAGGGCUCGGAAAGCAGGAACAAGGGAUUACCACCCCUCUGAUGGCGAAAAAGACAGACUUGCGUGCUGGAGUAAUUGUGAACGCUAACGAUACGAAAUCAGAGAAGAAAGUGAAGAGUGUCAACUUCAACGGGCAACCUACUCGGGUUCUUCUGCUCAGAAAUAUGGUGGGUCCUGGUGAGGUAGAUGAUGAGCUAGAAGAGGAAGUAGGAUCAGAGUGUGCAAAGUACGGGACAGUAACACGGGUUCUGAUAUUUGAGAUUACAGAACCCAAUUUUCCAGUAGACGAGGCUGUUCGAAUUUUUGUGCAGUUUGAAAGAUCAGAAGAAACGACAAAGGCUUUGGUUGAUCUUGAUGGUCGGUACUUCGGUGGAAGGGUGGUUCGAGCUACAUUUUAUGACGAGGAGAGGUUCAGUAAGAAUGAAUUGGCUCCAAUGCCAGGAGAAGUCCCUGGAUUUACAUGAAACCCAAGAAGUAAAAAACGCCAGACAUGCUCAAUCUGGGUAGCUGAAGGAAGCUAUGAUUAAUUUGGAUUGGAUUGUGCAAUAACUUUCCUAUUGUAAAGGGAUUUGCCAUGAUGUUAUCGAUUGAAUGAAGCUGAAAAAUGAUGGCAAAAAAACUGGUCUCAGUGAUUAUGCACGUGGUAAUGAAAACCGUCCAAGCCAACGUUUGAUGAGUUCAUUUUUGUUGAUUUUUCCUCUGAUUAUAUAAAUUUUUUCUUAGAAUUCAAGCGUCUGUAUACUAAUAAACACUUGGCAAGUCCAUCUUAUUUUCUUUCU